CAGUCACGACGCAUAUCAAUAAGCGGAGGAAAAGAAACCAACAGGGAUUGCCCUAGUAACGGCGAGUGAAGCGGCAACAGCUCAAAUUUGAAAUCUGGCUUCGGCCCGAGUUGUAAUUUGCAGAGGAAGCUUUAGGCGCGGCACCUUCUGAGUCCCCUGGAACGGGGCGCCAUAGAGGGUGAGAGCCCCGUAUAGUUGGAUGCCUAGCCUGUGUAAAGCUCCUUCGACGAGUCGAGUAGUUUGGGAAUGCUGCUCAAAAUGGGAGGUAAAUUUCUUCUAAAGCUAAAUACCGGCCAGAGACCGAUAGCGCACAAGUAGAGUGAUCGAAAGAUGAAAAGCACUUUGAAAAGAGGGUUAAAUAGCACGUGAAAUUGUUGAAAGGGAAGCGCUUGUGACCAGACUUGCGCCGGGCGGAUCAUCCGGUGUUCUCACCGGUGCACUCCGCCCGGCUCAGGCCAGCAUCGGUUCUCGCGGGGGGAUAAAGGUCCUGGGAACGUAGCUCCUCCGGGAGUGUUAUAGCCCGGGGCGUAAUGCCCUCGCGGGGACCGAGGUUCGCGCAUCUGCAAGGAUGCGGCGAAGGUCAUCAGCGA
rnacentral:rRNA from 1 species